AACGAACGCUGGCGGCAUGCCUAACACAUGCAAGUCGAACGAGACCUUCGGGUCUAGUGGCGCACGGGUGCGUAACGCGUGGGAACCUUCCCUUAGGUUCGGAAUAACUCCCCGAAAGGGGUGCUAAUACCGGAUAAUGUCUUCGGCCCAAAGAUUUAUCGCCUUUGGAUGGGCCCGCGUUGGAUUAGCUAGUUGGUAGGGUAAAAGCCUACCAAGGCGACGAUCCAUAGCUGGUCUGAGAGGAUGGUCAGCCACACUGAGACUGAGACACGGCCCAGACUCCUACGGGAUGCAGCAGUGGGGAAUAGUGGACAAUGGGCGAAAGCCUGAUCCAGCAAGGCCGCGAGAAUGAUGAAGGCCUGAGGGUUGUAAAGCGCUUGUACCCGGGAUGAUAAUGACAGUACCGGGAGAAUAAGCUCCGGCUAACUCCGUG
rnacentral:rRNA from 1 species